rnacentral:rRNA from 1 species
GACGAACGCUGGCGGCGUGCUUAACACAUGCAAGUCGAACGGAAAGGCCCUGCUUGCAGGGUACUCGAGUGGCGAACGGGUGAGUAACACGUGGGUGAUCUGCCCUCCACUUCGGGAUAAGCCUGGGAAACUGGGUCUAAUACCGGAUAGGAGCCAUUUUUAGUGUGAUGGUUGGAAAGUUUUUUCGGUGUAGGAUGAGCUCGCGGCCUAUCAGCUUGUUGGUGGGGUAAUGGCCUACCAAGGCGGCGACGGGUAGCCGGCCUGAGAGGGUGGACGGCCACAUUGGGACUGAGGUACGGCCCAGACUCCUACGGGAGGCAGCAGUGGGGAAUAUUGCACAAUGGGCGCAAGCCUGAUGCAGCGACGCCGCGGGGGGGAUGACGGCCUUCGGGUUGUAAACUCCUUUCGCUAGGGACGAAGCUUUUUGUGACGGUACCUAGAUAAGAAGCACCGGCUAACUACGUG